GUAUAUUCAGAAUUACAACCAAUCGCUACGAUAAUUUUACGGACACACUUAUCGUUAUAGUAACGGACACACUUUCUGUGUCCGCGGACUUCCGGACUAUAUAAACGGUUGUAGCAGACGAUUCUAGACAGCUCAGCUCACAUUACCUUGACCAUUUUGAUAGAUAUACCAUUAUUACCAGAGCCUAUACCACUUGUGAACCAUUACCAGGUUAAUGCUAACCCCGAUUUUUAUGAUAUUUACGACCUGACAAGUGACCUAUAUUAUUUACUACAAUACUAUAAAUAGUAAAACCACUUUCCCAUGUUUACGCACGACGAUUAACAUCCAAGGGGGGCUCUGAACCGUUUUUGCUUUGGGAUAUUUA
rnacentral:lncRNA from 1 species